CUACCUGAUACAUCAGUUUGUAAAGUGAUGUUUGAUAAAGACUGGGACCAUAGCUUUAUAGUAAAUAGAUUUACUCAACUCAAAUCAAGAGUACUCAAUUUACUCAACAGUUCCUGCCUAGCAACAGUACUUAAUGCUUGGCAGUAAGGAAGUCCUGGAUCAGUUCCUUAUACCUGGAGGAGUGUCAUUGAAGUAGCUGAUGCUUUAGGAGAUGAUAAUGCGAAGAGAAAUAUAGAAACAUUUUUAUUAACAUAAUGAUCAUAAAUGAAAUGAUAAUAAAAUAGUGACUUUGUUGUUAUGUGUGAAUGAUCAUAUUAUCAUAGACCAAGUGACCAGCAACCCUCCUCCAGCUGUUUGAAUCACAAUGGCGAAUGAUAGGAUUAUGUCUUGAAGUAGAUUUAGAUGAAGAUGAGCUAGUUAUUAAAAAACACCAUGACAAUAGCUCCUGUCUAGCAACAGUAUAAUUGAUUCUUGGCAGAAUGUGAAGAGAGAUAUAGCAACAUUUUAUUAAGACAGUAAAUGAAUUUAAUGCUUUGAUGUACUGUAUUGAAUCACAGAUAUUGAUUGAUCAUGAACUGAUCCAACCCAUAAUGUUAAUAUUAUGCUUGCACGUGACCAACCACGUGAUUUCACGUGGUUAUCAUUAUUGGCUAGCUUGAACAGAGAACUUGAAGUUGAGGCCGAGGGAAGCUCUCUCCUGCAUAUAAGUCAUACAAGCCCUUGUCCUUGUGCUAAAAUAAUGGCGACUUCCUAUCCUUCAUCUUCAACUCGAACAAUCAACAGAAGUCUUUCAUAUGUUGUAAGUGAAGAUUCAUUUCUAGGGAGAGGACAGAGCAGCAUCGUUCGGAAGUUAGUGAUUCAAUUCUUUACUCGUGAAUAAAGUUCUGUUUGAUGUUAAUGUUAUGAAUG